GUGCCCGUAACUCAGUGGUAGAGUGUGAGAUUGCAAUAACCAAAGACAAUAAUUGAAAUCUUGAAGCCCCGUGUUCGACCCACGGCGGGCACU